GCGGAGGAAAAGAAACCAACAGGGAUUGCCUUAGUAACGGCGAGUGAAGCGGCAAAAGCUCAAAUUUGAAAUCUGGCACCUUCGGUGUCCGAGUUGUAAUUUGAAGAAGGUAACUUUGGAGUUGGCUCUUGUCUAUGUUCCUUGGAACAGGACGUCACAGAGGGUGAGAAUCCCGUGCGAUGAGAUGCCCAAUUCUAUGUAAAGUGCUUUCGAAGAGUCGAGUUGUUUGGGAAUGCAGCUCUAAGUGGGUGGUAAAUUCCAUCUAAAGCUAAAUAUUGGCGAGAGACCGAUAGCGAACAAGUACAGUGAUGGAAAGAUGAAAAGAACUUUGAAAAGAGAGUGAAAAAGUACGUGAAAUUGUUGAAAGGGAAGGGCUUGAGAUCAGACUUGGUAUUUUGCGAUCCUUUCCUUCUUGGUUGGGUUCCUCGCAGCUUACUGGGCCAGCAUCGGUUUGGAUGGUAGGAUAAUGACUAAGGAAUGUGGCUCUACUUCGGUGGAGUGUUAUAGCCUUGGUUGAUACUGCCUGUCUAGACCGAGGACUGCGUCUUUUGACUAGGAUGUUGGCAUAAUGAUCUUAAGCCACCCGUCUUGAAACACGGACCAAGGAGUCUAACGUCUAUGCGAGUGUUUGGGUGUAAAACCCGUACGCGUAAUGAAAGUGAACGUAGGUGAGAGCUCUUAAGAGUGCAUCAUCGACCGAUCCUGAUGUCUUCGGAUGGAUUUGAGUAAGAGCAUAGCUGUUGGGACCCGAAAGAUGGUGAACUAUGCCUGAAUAGGGUGAAGCCAGAGGAAACUCUGGUGGAGGCUCGUAGCGGUUCUGACGUGCAAAUCGAUCGUCGAAUUUGGGUAUAGGGGCGAAAGACUAAUCGAACCAUCUAGUAGC
rnacentral:rRNA from 1 species